CACAAAAUGAUUUUUAAAUUUGCAUUAUAACUUGCAAAUUCUGUAAUAAAAAAGAUUCUAAAACAUUUUUACAGGAAAGGAAAGGAAAUCAUGUUUUCUUUACAAAUACACAAGAGAAUUAUAAGUAACAAAUCUACUGACAAUUGCUAGCAAGGAUCGGUAGUGAAGAACAAUGAUCAUUAUAUAAACAAAUCUUAUGCAUGUAACAACAAGUUUUAUAUAUAGCA
rnacentral:lncRNA from 1 species